rnacentral:rRNA from 1 species
AUUGAACGCUGGCGGCAUGCCUUACACAUGCAAGUCGAACGGCAGCGGGGACUUCGGUCCGCCGGCGAGUGGCGAACGGGUGAGUAAUGUAUCGGAACGUACCAUUGAGUGGGGGAUAACGUAGCGAAAGUUACGCUAAUACCGCAUAUUCUCUCCGGAGGAAAGCAGGGGACCGCAAGGCCUUGCGCUCUUUGAGCGGCCGAUAUCAGAUUAGCUAGUUGGUGAGGUAAAGGCUACCCAAGGCGACGAUCUGUAGCGGGUCUGAGAGGAUGGUCCGCCACACUGGAACUGAGACACGGUCCAGACUCCUACGGGAGGCAGCAGUGGGGAAUUGUGGACAAUGGGGGCAACCCUGAUCCAGCCAUGCCGCGUGAGUGAAGAAGGCCUUCGGGUUGUAAAGCUCUUUCGGCUGGGAAAAAAUCGCAUGGGCUAAUAUCCUGUGUGGAUGAUGGUACCGGAAUAAGAAGCACCGGCUAACUACGUGCCAGCCGCCGCGGUAA